rnacentral:rRNA from 1 species
GUCAACACAUGCAAGUCGAACGGUAACAGGAAGCAUCUUGCUGCUUCGCUGACGAGUGGCGGACGGGUGAGUAAUGUCUGGGAAACUGCCUGAUGGAGGGGGAUAACUACUGGAAACGGUAGCUAAUACCGCAUAACGUUCGCAAGACCAAAGAGGGGGACCUUCGGGCCUCUUGCCAUCGGAUGUGCCCAGAUGGGAUUAGCUAGUAGGUGGGGUAACGGCUCACCUAGGCGACGAUCCCUAGCUGGUCUGAGAGGAUGACCAGCCACACUGGAACUGAGACACGGUCCAGACUCCUACGGGAGGCAGCAGUGGG